rnacentral:misc_RNA from 1 species
GGUGAAUCAUCGAAUCUUUGAACGCACAUUGCGCCCGCCAGCAUUCUGGCGGGCAUGCCUGUCCGAGCGUCAUUUCAACCCUCGAACCCCUCCGGGGGUCCGGCGUUGGGGAUCGGCCCUUUACCGGCCGGCCCCGAAAUACAGUGGCGGUCUCGCCGCAGCCUCUCCUGCGCAGUAGUUUGCACACUCGCACCGGGAGCGCGGCGCAGUCCAAUGCCGUAAAACACCCAACUUUCUGAAAUGUUGACCUCGGAUCAGGUAGGAAUACCCGCUGAACUUAAGCAUAUCAAUAAGCGGAGG